rnacentral:rRNA from 1 species
UACGAAGGGGGCUAGCGUUGCUCGGAAUCACUGGGCGUAAAGCGCACGUAGGCGGAUUGUUAAGUCAGGGGUGAAAUCCUGGAGCUCAACUCCAGAACUGCCUUUGAUACUGGCGAUCUCGAGUCCGGGAGAGGUGAGUGGAACUGCGAGUGUAGAGGUGAAAUCGUAGAUAUCGCAAGAACACCAGUGGCGAAGGCGGCUCACUGGCCCGGGUACUGACGCUGAGGUGCGAAAGCGUGGGGAGCAAACAGG